rnacentral:rRNA from 1 species
AGGGAAUUUUCCGCAAUGGGCGCAAGCCUGACGGAGCAACGCCGCGUGAGUGAGGACGGCCUUCGGGUUGUAAAUCUCUGUUCUUUCGGAAGAAUGCCAUGUAGUUCAAUAGGCUAUGUGGAGAGACGGUACGGAAGGAGAAAGCCCCGGCUAACUACGUGCCAGCAGCCGCGGUAAUACGUAGGGGGCAAGCGUUGUCCGGAAUUAUUGGGCGUAAAGGGCACGCAGGCGGUCUCUUAAGUUAGAUGUGAAAGGUCUCGGCUCAACCGAGGAGCUGCAUCUGAAACUGGGGGACUUGAGUGCAGGAGAGGAGAGUGGAAUUCUCGGUGUAGCGGUGGAAUGCGUAGAGAUCGGGAGGAACACCAGUGGCGAAGGCGACUCUCUGGCCUGCAACUGACGCUGAGGCGCGAAAGCGUGGGUAGCGAAC